rnacentral:rRNA from 1 species
UACGUAGGGGGCAAGCGUUGUCCGGAAUUAUUGGGCGUAAAGAGCGUGUAGGCGGUCCGGUAAGUCCGCUGUGAAAGUCGGGGGCUCAACCCUCGAAUGCCGGUGGAUACUGUCGGGCUAGAGUGCGGAAGAGGCGAGUGGAAUUCCUGGUGUAGCGGUGAAAUGCGCAGAUAUCAGGAGGAACACCAAUUGCGAAGGCAGCUCGCUGGGACGUAACUGACGCUGAGACGCGAAAGCGUGGGGAGCAAACAGG